rnacentral:rRNA from 1 species
UACGAAGGGUGCAAGCGUUACUCGGAAUUACUGGGCGUAAAGGGUGCGUAGGUGGUCGUUUAAGUCCGUUGUGAAAUCCCUGGGCUCAACCUGGGAAUGGCAGUGGAUACUGGACGGCUAGAAUGCGGUAGAGGGUAGUGGAAUUCCCGGUGUAGCAGUGAAAUGCGUAGAGAUCGGGAGGAACACCAGUGGCGAAGGCGGCUAGCUGGACCAGCAUUGACACUCAAGCACGAAAGCGUGGGGAGCAAACAGG